rnacentral:rRNA from 1 species
ACGGGUGAGUAACGCGUGGGUAACCUGCCUUAUACAGGGGGAUAACAGUUGGAAACGACUGCUAAUACCGCAUAAGCGCACGGUAUCGCAUGAUACAGUGUGAAAAAACUCCGGUGGCAUCAUCUGAAUGUCAAAGAUUUAUCGCUGAAAGAUGGCCUCGCGUCUGAUUAGCUAGUUGGUGAGGUAACGGCCCACCAAGGCGACGAUCGGUAGCCGGACUGAGAGGUUGAACGGCCACAUUGGGACUGAGAUACGGCCCAGACUCC